rnacentral:piRNA from 1 species
UACUUUCUUACCCAUUCAUGGGGUUCUGUA